UGGGGAAUUUUGGACAAUGGGGGAAACCCUGAUCCAGCCAUCCCGCGUGUGCGAUGAAGGCCUUCGGGUUGGAAAGCACUGUUGGCAGGAAAGAAACGUCAUGGGUUAAUACCCCGUGAAACUGACGGUACCUGCAGAAUAAGCACCGGCUAACUACGUGCCAGCAGCCGCGGUAAUACGUAGGGUGCAAGCGUUAAUCGGAAUUACUGGGCGUAAAGCGUGCGCAGGCGGUUCGGAAAGAAAGAUGUGAAAUCCCAGAGCUCAACUUUGGAACUGCAUUUUUAACUACCGGGCUAGAGUGUGUCAGAGGGAGGUGGAAUUCCGCGUGUAGCAGUGAAAUGCGUAGAUAUGCGGAGGAACACCGAUGGCGAAGGCAGCCUCCUGGGAUAACACUGACGCUCAUGCACGAAAGCGUGGGGAGCAAACAGG
rnacentral:rRNA from 1 species